UUUUCAUCCAGUCACAAGCAGGUUUAAAUUCAAGCGGCACAAGCAGUCUGAUAGAAUCCACAGCCAUUGACGAGAAUCAAGGCGUCGCAGAUCAGUGCUCAGCCUUCAGUUGUCUUCUAUAGUCCAGAUCUGUAUUCAGAUUUAGCAGUUUACAGAUCUGAUCGCCGUCCACGGUUUAAGAGCUGCCCAUUCUGUGUGACAGCGUAGCGUACAAAACACUGCAUCCAAUAUUAUUCAGGAACAACACGUUCGAAUAGAUUCUCGGGGUUUUCGGUUGUAAGAUCAUUUCACUGAAUCAUGCACUGGCAAGGAACAGAAGAACCAUCCAACCGGUCACGUCUUGAAAUAUUUACUAAAACACCA